UUUUUUUAAAAUAUACUGCAGUGCCAACAAAGAAUGUGCAAUGACAAGAAAUGAGUUAUUGUUUGAAAAUCAAAAAUGUUAAAUGUUCACAUUGUUUUUAUUUGAACAGCAAUUUUCAGAUCUCAGGACAAGUUUUCUUUGGAACACAUUAUAAAUUUUUGUUUUUCAAAUGAUUUCAACUGACAUAAACAAGACUGGAAAGGUCGAAAUUACCAAAAUGCUAAUUUCACUAUUAUUGGUUCUUUUGUCGUGCCCAGCUCUUAAUGAUGGAAAACCCUGUAUCACAGUAACAUUCCUUUAAAUGAACUGGAGAAGUCUUGAUUACAAUAAUCAUAUUGCUUUUUACUUUUCAACACUAUUGGAUCUUGUGUCAUACCAGCUUUAGAUGGUGGAUGGAGUAUAUGGAGGUGUUAAGAAUUGCACAAGAGGUGUUCCUGCUACCUCUCUAUAUGUAGACAAUGUCACUGUUGUUGUGACGUUCUCAUUUCUAAGCCUUAAUUUAUGUCCGUUACAACGCCCUUAGGGAGAAAAACUACACCCUCAAAUGGACUGUAGAAGUCCAGAUUACAAUAAUGGUACUUUCAGCACCAUUGCACGGUUUGGUUGUCUUGCCCAGCUCUUAAUGGUCCAAAAUGCUGUACAAUGGAUUAUGUUUUAAAAAUUGAAGAUAAAAGAUUAAGUUUUGAAUAUCUUCUUUUUUUCUCUGAAGAUGGCAAAUCAAAUUAUUAAUUCACGAGCUCUAGAUAAUAAAAAUAUCAGGUGUUAAAGUUUGGAGGUAUAAACAAGUCAUUCUCAAUCAAAAUAUUGCAAAAUUGUAAUGUUAGCGGAUUUUCUCAUUGUUGAAGCCCAUACAGUAACCUAUUUUACAUUAACAUCAUUUGGUCUCUGUAGGAUAGUUGUCUCACAUCUCUUGAUAUCACAACAAAUCAAUUUGUAGGUUCUAUAAAGUGGGCCAAUGGUGAAGGUAGGGGAAAUUUUGACUGUCAAUCGAGGAGGAAAUUAUUGGACAGAAAUUUGGCCUAACGCAACAAGCCAAGUCCUACUAACACCUCAAAAGAGUUGUGACAAGGGUUCUUCAACGUGCAGAGUUGCACUGUCCCUACAGAAAGGACCUAUACUUUUUAAACUGCCAUUCCAAUUUUUUUUGUUUUAAAUAUGAGAACUUUAGAAGACUUAAAGGUGGGGGUCAUAAAAAUAUCAAAAUUAUCCCACCCUCAAUGUUUAUUAUCUAGAACUAUGUUUUCUAUUUUGCUUUCAUAUUAUUUUUUGGUAUUUUCUUUUUUAUAUUUUUUUUUCUUUUUUUUUUUACAAAGCUCUAGAUAAUAAAAAUAUCAGAUGUUAAAGUUUGGAGGUAUAAACAAGUCAUUCUAAAUCAGAAUAUUGCAAAAUUUUAAUGUUAGUGGAUUUUCUCAUUGUUGAAGCCCAUACAGUAACCUAUUUUACAUUAACAUCAUUUGGUCUCUGUAGGAUAGUUGUCUCACAUCUCUUGAUAUCACAACAAAUCAAUUUGUAGGUUCUAUAAAGUGGUCCAAUCCUAUGGUGAAGGGAGGGGGAAUUUUGACUGCCAACCGAAGAGGAUAUUUUUGGACAGAAAUUUAGCCUAUUAAUGCAACAAGCCACAUCCUACUGACACCUCAAAAGAGUUGUGACAAGGGUUCUUUAACGUGCAGAGUGGCACUGUCUGUCCCUACAAAUAGGACCUAUACUUUCCCGCUACCUCUAUGUGUAGACAACAUCACUGUUGUGACAUUCUUAUUUCUAAGCCUUAAUUUAUGUCCGUUACAACGCCCUUAGGGAGGAAAUAGUAGCAGAUAGUAGCAGAUAUUACUACACCCUCAAAUGGAUUGUAGAAGUCCAGUUUACAAUAAUGGUACUUUCAGCACCAUAACCUGCUUUGGUUGUCUUGUCCAGCUCUCAAUGGUCCAAAAUGCUGUACAAUGGAUUAUGAUUUAAAAAUUGAAGAUAAAAGAUUAAGUUUUGAAUAUAUCUACUUUUUUUCUUUGAAGAUGGCAAAUCAAAUUAUUAAUUCAUUAAAAAUUCAGAAUAACUCAAAUCUUUACACCACACAAACGCGACAACAAAGAAUGUGCAAUGAAAAGAAUUGAGUUAUUGUUUGAAACAUCAAAAAUGUUAAAGUUUCACGCAUUGUUUUUUAUUUGAACAGCAAUUUUCAGAUCUCAGGACAAGUUUUCUUUGGAACACACUCAGGACAAGUUAUCUUUGGAAGACAUUAUAAAUUUCUGUUUUGCAAAAGAUUAAAAGUUUUGGAUACUUUCUUUUUUUCUUUGAAGAUAACAAAUCUAAUUAUUAAUUCAUUAAAAAUUCAGACUAACCCAAUUGUUUACACCACACAAACUUUCCGGAGGUAACAUAUUUAUUUUUUGUCCAUUCUUUUUUCUUUCUUUUUUUCUUUUUUUUAAAAUAUACUGCAGUGCCAACAAAGAAUGUGCAAUGACAAGAAAUGAGUUAUUGUUUGAAAAUCAAAAAUGUUAAAUGUUCACAUUGUUUUUAUUUGAACAGCAAUUUUCAGAUCUCAGGACAAGUUUUCUUUGGAACACAUUAUAAAUUUUUGUUUUUCAAAUGAUUUCAACUGACAUAAACAAGACUGGAAAGGUCGAAAUUACCAAAAUGCUAAUUUCACUAUUAUUGGUUCUUUUGUCGUGCCCAGCUCUUAAUGAUGGAAAACCCUGUAUCACAGUAACAUUCCUUUAAAUGAACUGGAGAAGUCUUGAUUACAAUAAUCAUAUUGCUUUUUACUUUUCAACACUAUUGGAUCUUGUGUCAUACCAGCUUUAGAUGGUGGAUGGAGUAUAUGGAGGUGUUAAGAAUUGCACAAGAGGUGUUCCUGCUACCUCUCUAUAUGUAGACAAUGUCACUGUUGUUGUGACGUUCUCAUUUCUAAGCCUUAAUUUAUGUCCGUUACAACGCCCUUAGGGAGAAAAACUACACCCUCAAAUGGACUGUAGAAGUCCAGAUUACAAUAAUGGUACUUUCAGCACCAUUGCACGGUUUGGUUGUCUUGCCCAGCUCUUAAUGGUCCAAAAUGCUGUACAAUGGAUUAUGUUUUAAAAAUUGAAGAUAAAAGAUUAAGUUUUGAAUAUCUUCUUUUUUUCUCUGAAGAUGGCAAAUCAAAUUAUUAAUUCACGAGCUCUAGAUAAUAAAAAUAUCAGGUGUUAAAGUUUGGAGGUAUAAACAAGUCAUUCUCAAUCAAAAUAUUGCAAAAUUGUAAUGUUAGUGGAUUUUCUCAUUGUUGAAGCCCAUACAGUAACCUAUUUUACAUUAACAUCAUUUGGUCUCUGUAGGAUAGUUGUCUCACAUCUCUUGAUAUCACAACAAAUCAAUUUGUAGGUUCUAUAAAGUGGGCCAAUGGUGAAGGUAGGGGAAAUUUUGACUGUCAAUCGAGGAGGAAAUUAUUGGACAGAAAUUUGGCCUAACGCAACAAGCCAAGUCCUACUAACACCUCAAAAGAGUUGUGACAAGGGUUCUUCAACGUGCAGAGUUGCACUGUCCCUACAGAAAGGACCUAUACUUUUUAAACUGCCAUUCCAAUUUUUUUUGUUUUAAAUAUGAGAACUUUAGAAGACUUAAAGGUGGGGGUCAUAAAAAUAUCAAAAUUAUCCCACCCUCAAUGUUUAUUAUCUAGAACUAUGUUUUCUAUUUUGCUUUCAUAUUAUUUUUUGGUAUUUUCUUUUUUAUAUUUUUUUUUCUUUUUUUUUUUACAAAGCUCUAGAUAAUAAAAAUAUCAGAUGUUAAAGUUUGGAGGUAUAAACAAGUCAUUCUAAAUCAGAAUAUUGCAAAAUUUUAAUGUUAGUGGAUUUUCUCAUUGUUGAAGCCCAUACAGUAACCUAUUUUACAUUAACAUCAUUUGGUCUCUGUAGGAUAGUUGUCUCACAUCUCUUGAUAUCACAACAAAUCAAUUUGUAGGUUCUAUAAAGUGGUCCAAUCCUAUGGUGAAGGGAGGGGGAAUUUUGACUGCCAACCGAAGAGGAUAUUUUUGGACAGAAAUUUAGCCUAUUAAUGCAACAAGCCACAUCCUACUGACACCUCAAAAGAGUUGUGACAAGGGUUCUUUAACGUGCAGAGUGGCACUGUCUGUCCCUACAAAUAGGACCUAUACUUUCCCGCUACCUCUAUGUGUAGACAACAUCACUGUUGUGACAUUCUUAUUUCUAAGCCUUAAUUUAUGUCCGUUACAACGCCCUUAGGGAGGAAAUAGUAGCAGAUAGUAGCAGAUAUUACUACACCCUCAAAUGGAUUGUAGAAGUCCAGUUUACAAUAAUGGUACUUUCAGCACCAUAACCUGCUUUGGUUGUCUUGUCCAGCUCUCAAUGGUCCAAAAUGCUGUACAAUGGAUUAUGAUUUAAAAAUUGAAGAUAAAAGAUUAAGUUUUGAAUAUAUCUACUUUUUUUCUUUGAAGAUGGCAAAUCAAAUUAUUAAUUCAUUAAAAAUUCAGAAUAACUCAAAUCUUUACACCACACAAACGCGACAACAAAGAAUGUGCAAUGAAAAGAAUUGAGUUAUUGUUUGAAACAUCAAAAAUGUUAAAGUUUCACGCAUUGUUUUUUAUUUGAACAGCAAUUUUCAGAUCUCAGGACAAGUUUUCUUUGGAACACACUCAGGACAAGUUAUCUUUGGAAGACAUUAUAAAUUUCUGUUUUGCAAAAGAUUAAAAGUUUUGGAUACUUUCUUUUUUUCUUUGAAGAUAACAAAUCUAAUUAUUAAUUCAUUAAAAAUUCAGACUAACCCAAUUGUUUACACCACACAAACUUUCCGGAGGUAACAUAUUUAUUUUUUGUCCAUUCUUUUUUCUUUCUUUUUUUCUUUUUUUUAAAAUAUACUGCAGUGCCAACAAAGAAUGUGCAAUGACAAGAAAUGAGUUAUUGUUUGAAAAUCAAAAAUGUUAAAUGUUCACAUUGUUUUUAUUUGAACAGCAAUUUUCAGAUCUCAGGACAAGUUUUCUUUGGAACACAUUAUAAAUUUUUGUUUUUCAAAUGAUUUCAACUGACAUAAACAAGACUGGAAAGGUCGAAAUUACCAAAAUGCUAAUUUCACUAUUAUUGGUUCUUUUGUCGUGCCCAGCUCUUAAUGAUGGAAAACCCUGUAUCACAGUAACAUUCCUUUAAAUGAACUGGAGAAGUCUUGAUUACAAUAAUCAUAUUGCUUUUUACUUUUCAACACUAUUGGAUCUUGUGUCAUACCAGCUUUAGAUGGUGGAUGGAGUAUAUGGAGGUGUUAAGAAUUGCACAAGAGGUGUUCCUGCUACCUCUCUAUAUGUAGACAAUGUCACUGUUGUUGUGACGUUCUUAUUUCUAAGCCUUAAUUUAUGUCCGUUACAACGCCCUUAGGGAGGAAAAACUACACCCUCAAAUGGACUGUAGAAGUCCAGAUUACAAUAAUGGUACUUUCAGCACCAUUGCACGGUUUGGUUGUCUUGCCCAGCUCUUAAUGGUCCAAAAUGCUGUACAAUGGAUUAUGUUUUAAAAAUUGAAGAUAAAAGAUUAAGUUUUGAAUAUCUUCUUUUUUUCUCUGAAGAUGGCAAAUCAAAUUAUUAAUUCACGAGCUCUAGAUAAUAAAAAUAUCAGGUGUUAAAGUUUGGAGGUAUAAACAAGUCAUUCUCAAUCAAAAUAUUGCAAAAUUGUAAUGUUAGUGGAUUUUCUCAUUGUUGAAGCCCAUACAGUAACCUAUUUUACAUUAACAUCAUUUGGUCUCUGUAGGAUAGUUGUCUCACAUCUCUUGAUAUCACAACAAAUCAAUUUGUAGGUUCUAUAAAGUGGGCCAAUGGUGAAGGUAGGGGAAAUUUUGACUGUCAAUCGAGGAGGAAAUUAUUGGACAGAAAUUUGGCCUAACGCAACAAGCCAAGUCCUACUAACACCUCAAAAGAGUUGUGACAAGGGUUCUUCAACGUGCAGAGUUGCACUGUCCCUACAGAAAGGACCUAUACUUUUUAAACUGCCAUUCCAAUUUUUUUUGUUUUAAAUAUGAGAACUUUAGAAGACUUAAAGGUGGGGGUCAUAAAAAUAUCAAAAUUAUCCCACCCUCAAUGUUUAUUAUCUAGAACUAUGUUUUCUAUUUUGCUUUCAUAUUAUUUUUUGGUAUUUUCUUUUUUAUAUUUUUUUUUCUUUUUUUUUUUACAAAGCUCUAGAUAAUAAAAAUAUCAGAUGUUAAAGUUUGGAGGUAUAAACAAGUCAUUCUAAAUCAGAAUAUUGCAAAAUUUUAAUGUUAGUGGAUUUUCUCAUUGUUGAAGCCCAUACAGUAACCUAUUUUACAUUAACAUCAUUUGGUCUCUGUAGGAUAGUUGUCUCACAUCUCUUGAUAUCACAACAAAUCAAUUUGUAGGUUCUAUAAAGUGGUCCAAUCCUAUGGUGAAGGGAGGGGGAAUUUUGACUGCCAACCGAAGAGGAUAUUUUUGGACAGAAAUUUAGCCUAUUAAUGCAACAAGCCACAUCCUACUGACACCUCAAAAGAGUUGUGACAAGGGUUCUUUAACGUGCAGAGUGGCACUGUCUGUCCCUACAAAUAGGACCUAUACUUUCCCGCUACCUCUAUGUGUAGACAACAUCACUGUUGUGACAUUCUUAUUUCUAAGCCUUAAUUUAUGUCCGUUACAACGCCCUUAGGGAGGAAAUAGUAGCAGAUAUUACUACACCCUCAAAUGGAUUGUAGAAGUCCAGUUUACAAUAAUGGUACUUUCAGCACCAUAACCCGCUUUGGUUGUCUUGUCCAGCUCUUAAUGGUCCAAAAUGCUGUACAAUGGAUUAUGAUUUAAAAAUUGAAGAUAAAAGAUUAAGUUUUGAAUAUAUCUACUUUUUUUCUUUGAAGAUGGCAAAUCAAAUUAUUAAUUCAUUAAAAAUUCAGAAUAACUCAAAUCUUUACACCACACAAACGCGCCAACAAAGAAUGUGCAAUGAAAAGAAUUGAGUUAUUGUUUGAAACAUCAAAAAUGUUAAAGUUUCACGCAUUGUUUUUUAUUUGAACAGCAAUUUUCAGAUCUCAGGACAAGUUUUCUUUGGAACACACUCAGGACAAGUUAUCUUUGGAAGACAUUAUAAAUUUCUGUUUUGCAAAAGAUUAAAAGUUUUGGAUACUUUCUUUUUUUCUUUGAAGAUAACAAAUCUAAUUAUUAAUUCAUUAAAAAUUCAGACUAACCCAAUUGUUUACACCACACAAACUUUCCGGAUAACAUAUUUAUUUUUUGUCCAUUCUUUUUUCUUUCUUUUUUUAAAAUAUACUGCAGUGCCAACAAAGAAUGUGCAAUGACAAGAAAUGAGUUAUUGUUUGAAAAUCAAAAAUGUUAAAUGUUCACAUUGUUUUUAUUUGAACAGCAAUUUUCAGAUCUCAGGACAAGUUUUCUUUGGAACACAUUAUAAAUUUUUGUUUUUCAAAUGAUUUCAACUGACAUAAACAAGACUGGAAAGGUCGAAAUUACCAAAAUGCUAAUUUCACUAUUAUUGGUUCUUUUGUCGUGCCCAGCUCUUAAUGAUGGAAAACCCUGUAUCACAGUAACAUUCCUUUAAAUGAACUGGAGAAGUCUUGAUUACAAUAAUCAUAUUGCUUUUUACUUUUCAACACUAUUGGAUCUUGUGUCAUACCAGCUUUAGAUGGUGGAUGGAGUAUAUGGAGGUGUUAAGAAUUGCACAAGAGGUGUUCCUGCUACCUCUCUAUAUGUAGACAACGUCACUGUUGUUGUGACGUUCUUAUUUCUAAGCCUUAAUUUAUGUCCGUUACAACGCCCUUAGGGAGGAAAACUACACCCUCAAAUGGACUGUAGAAGUCCAGAUUACAAUAAUGGUACUUUCAGCACCAUUGCACGGUUUGGUUGUCUUGCCCAGCUCUUAAUGGUCCAAAAUGCUGUACAAUGGAUUAUGUUUUAAAAAUUGAAGAUAAAAGAUUAAGUUUUGAAUAUCUUCUUUUUUUCUCUGAAGAUGGCAAAUCAAAUUAUUAAUUCACGAGCUCUAGAUAAUAAAAAUAUC
rnacentral:lncRNA from 1 species